rnacentral:rRNA from 1 species
UACGGAGGGUGCAAGCGUUAUCCGGAUUCACUGGGUUUAAAGGGUGCGUAGGCGGGCAGGUAAGUCAGUGGUGAAAUCCUUGAGCUUAACUCGAGAACUGCCAUUGAUACUAUCUGUCUUGAAUAUUGUGGAGGUAAGCGGAAUAUGUCAUGUAGCGGUGAAAUGCUUAGAUAUGACAUAGAACACCUAUUGCGAAGGCAGCUUACUACGCAUAUAUUGACGCUGAGGUGCGAAAGCGUGGGGAGCAAACAGG